AUUAACCCCAAACCUUCGGAAAAUCAGAGUUUAGAGUGAGUCUUCUUCUUCUCUUCCAACACCUGAGAGUAGAGACCAGAGUUUAGAGUAAGUCACGAUUAUGGAGAGAGGCAGAUAGCAGAGCUUCUUCUUCUUCUUCUUCUUCUCCUCUGCCGAGCUCGCCGUCGCGCCAUCCUCUUCAUAUUCGUCGUUGCAACGUCUUUGCCGGGAGCUGUCGCUGUGAGCCUGUCGCCAGAGCAUGUCGCCGUCGCAGCUUCUUUUAAAUAAGGAGUUAGCUUGGAAGCCUUUAAAAGAAGCACAUGAUGAUCACACUCUCCCUCAAUGUUGGCAUGGUAGAAGACCUUUCAGAAGCAUACAUAAAGUUAGAAAAUACUUCAAGCCUAUGGCACUUUCUUUUGCUGGCGGCGGCCGAAGUAAAGCUCAGUUUGAAAUCCCUCCUGAGGCACACCUCAUAAUAUCAAACAUGGGAAAUGUUUGCUUGGGAAUCUUAAAUGGAUCUGAAGAUCUAAACCUAAUUGGAGGUGAGGUAAUUGGUAAGGAGGUUUGAUGAGCCACAGAAAUACAAGCCAUUUGUGAGUAGGUGUGUGGCGAAGGGGAACCUUGAGAUUGGGAGUUUAAGAGAAGUUGAUGUUAAGUCACGGCUACCUGCCACUACCAGCACUGAGAGAUUGGAGAUUCUUGAUGACAAUCAGCAUAUUCUUAGUGUAAGGAUCAUUGGUGGUGAUCACAGACUCAGGGGUUCAUAUGGAGCACGCACCUGAUAAUGGAGGCAGCAAUGGCGGUUUCGACAGUGGCACAAGAGAAGUGCGACCAC